AAAGAGAUGGAGGAGUGACCAAGAGGGGUGAAGGGGAUGGAAGCAACCAGAUGGAGGAUUAGGAUUAGGAGUGCAACUCAGGUGAGAGUGGAGCCAUCUCUGAGGACUUCAGUGUCUGAUGCUACAGUAAGAAACGCUUUGGGAAGAAGACAGAUGCAGCAAUGUGUUAAAAAGAAGUCUCCAGAUUACAGUACAGUCAAGGAGAUCCACAAACAGAGGGCCUUGGACAUUGAACAUCAGAAUGAUUUAAGCUCCAUCCCAGAGACCAUAAGAGGGCGCCUUGGUGGAUAGAAAAUCUGAUAUAUCUGAAAGGAAUCUACAAGGUAAAGAGAACAUAAGAGGGUGCCUUGGUGAUUUUAACCACGA